GACGAACGCUGGAGGCGUGCUUAACACAUGCAAGUCGAACGAUGAUGCUGGAGCUUGCUCCAGUUGAUUAGUGGCGAACGGGUGAGUAACACGUGAGCAAUCUGCCCUUGACUCUGGGAUAACUGCGGGAAACUGUAGCUAAUACCGGAUACUUUCACCGGAAGGCAUCUUCUGGUGAUGAAAGAAUUUCGGUCAGGGAUGAGCUCGCGGCCUAUCAGCUUGUUGGUGGGGUAACGGCUCACCAAGGCGACGACGGGUAACCGGCCUGAGAGGGUGACCGGGCACACGGGGACUGAGACACGGCCCAGACUCCUACGGGAGGCAGCAGUGGGGAAUAUUGCACAAUGGGCGCAAGCCUGAUGCAGCAACGCCGCGUGAGGGAUGAAGGCCUUCGGGUUGUAAACCUCUUUUAGCAGGGAAGAAGCGAAAGUGACGGUACCUGCAGAAAAAGCACCGGCUAACUACGUGCCAGCAGCCGCCGUAA
rnacentral:rRNA from 1 species